rnacentral:rRNA from 1 species
GAGCGGCGGACGGGUGAGUAAUGCCUAGAGAAAUUGCCCUGAUGUGGGGGAUAACCAUUGGAAACGAUGGCUAAUACCGCAUAAUGCCUACGGGCCAAAGAGGGGGACCUUCGGGCCUCUCGCGUCAGGAUAUGCCUAGGUGGGAUUAGCUAGUUGGUGAGGUAAUGGCUCACCAAGGCGACGAUCCCUAGCUGGUCUGAGAGGAUGAUCAGCCACACUGGAACUGAGACACGGUCCAGACUCCUACGGGAGGCAGCAGUGGGGAAUAUUGCACAAUGGGCGCAAGCCUGAUGCAGCCAUGCCGCGUGUGUGAAGAAGGCCUUCGGGUUGUAAAGCACUUUCAGUCGUGAGGAAGGUGGUGUAGUUAAUAGCUGUAUUAUUUGACGUUAGCGACAGAAGAAGCACCGGCUAACUCCGUGCCAGCAGCCGCGGUAAUACGGAGGGUGCGAGCGUUAAUCGGAAUUACUGGGCGUAAAGCGCAUGCAGGUGGUUUGUUAAGUCAGAUGUGAAAGCCCGGGGCUCAACCUCGGAAUAGCAUUUGAAACUGGCAGACUAGAGUACUGUAGAGGGGGGUAGAAUUUCAGGUGUAGCGGUGAAAUGCGUAGAGAUCUGAAGGAAUACCGGUGGCGAAGGCGGCCCCCUGGACAGAUACUGACACUCAGAUGCGAAAGCGUGGGGAGCAAACAGGAUUAGAUACCCUGGUAGUCCACGCCGUAAACGAUGUCUACUUGGAGUUUGUGGCCUUGAGCCGUGGCUUUCGGAGCUAACGCGUUAAGUAGACCGCCUGGGGAGUACGGUCGCAAGAUUAUAACUCAAAUGAAUUGACGGGGGCCCGCACAAGCGGUGGAGCAUGUGGUUUAAUUUGAUGCAACGCGAAGAACCUUACCUACUCUUGACAUCCAGAGAACUUUCCAGAGAUGGAUUGGUGCCUUCGGGAACUGUGAGACAGGUGCUGCAUGGCUGUCGUCAGCUAGUGUUGUGAAAUGUUGGGUUAAGUCCCGCAACGAGCGCAACCCUUAUCUUUGUUUGCCAGCGAGUAAUGUCGGGAACUCCAGGGAGACUGCCGGUGAUAUACCGGAGGAAGGUGGGGACGACGUCAAGUCAUCAUGGCCCUUACGAGUAGGGCUACACACGUGCUACAAUGGCGCAUACAGAGGGCAGCAAGCUAGCGAUAGUGAGCGAAUCCCAAAAAGUGCGUCGUAGUCCGGAUUGGAGUCUGCAAUCUCGACUCCAUGAAUGUUGGAAUCGCUAGUAAUCGUGGAUCAGAAUGCCCCGGUGAAUACGUUCCCGGGCCUUGUACACUCCGCCCGUCACACCAUGGGAGUGGG